ACCAAGGAGUCUGACAUGCAUGCGAGUCGACGGGUUCUGAAACCUGGGAUGCGCAAGGAAGCUGACGAGCGGGAGGCCCUCACGGGCCGCACCGCUGGCUGACCCUGAUCUUCUGUGAAGGGUUCGAGUUGGAGCACGCCUGUCGGGACCCGAAAGAUGGUGAACUAUGCCUGAGCGGGGCGAAGCCAGAGGAAACUUUGGUGGAGGCUCGAAGCGAUACUGACAUGCAAAUCGUUCGUCCGACUUGGGUAUAGGGGCGAAAGACUAAUCGAACCAUCUAGUAGCUGGUUCCCUCCGAAGUUUCCCUCAGGAUAGCUGGAGCCCAUUACGAGUUCGAUCAGGUAAAGCCAAUGAUUAGAGGCUUCAGGGACGCAACGUCCUCGACCUAUUCUCAAACUUUAAAUAGGUAGGAUGGCGCGGUUGCUUCGGUGAGCCAUGCCACGGAAUCGGGUGCUCCAAGUGGGCCAUUUUUGGUAAGCAGAACUGGCGAUGCGGGAUGAACCGGAAGCCGGGAUACGGUGCCCAACUGCGCGCUAACCUAGAACCCACAAAGGGUGUUGGUCGAUUAAGACAGCAGGACGGUGGUCAUGGAAGUCGAAAUCCGCUAAGGAGUGUGUAACAACUCACCUGCCGAAUCAACUNGGAUGGCGCUGAAGCGCGCGACCCACACCCGGCCAUCUGGGCGAGCGCCAUGCCCCGAUGAGUAGGAGGGCGCGGCGGCCGCUGCAAAACCCGGGGUGCGAGCCCAGGCGGAGCGGCCGCCGGUGCAGAUCUUGGUGGUAGUAGCAAAUAUUCAAAUGAGAACUUUGAAGGCCGAAGAGGAGAAAGGUUCCAUGUGAACCGCACUUGCACAUGGGUAAGGCGAUCCUAAGGGACUGGGUAGCCCCGGCAGAUAGCACGAUCACGCGCAUCCCCCGAAAGGGAAUCGGGUUAAGAUUUCCCGAGCCGGGAUGUGGCAGUUGACGGCGACGUUAAGAAGUCCGGAGACGCCGGCGGGGGCCUCGGGAAGAGUUAUCUUUUCUGCUUAACGGCCUGCCAACCCUGGAAACGGUUCAGCCGGAGGUAGGGUCCAGUGGCUGGAAGAGCACCGCACGUCGCGCGGUGUCCGGUGCGCCCCCGGCGGCCCAUGAAAAUCCGGAGGACCGAGUACCGUUCACGCCCGGUCGUACUCAUAACCACAUCAGGUCUCCAAGGUGAACAGCCUCUGGCC
rnacentral:ncRNA from 1 species